GUCUCAUAGCAGUGCCAAGAGGAGGAGAAAAUCUUAGAAUUGCCUCUGAGCAUUUGCCUCACUUUUUGGUGAAGGUCUGAAGGUCAGAAGUCUUAACGAGUCUUAUGGGGAAAAUCAAGUUUUCAUCAGGCCAGCUUCUUCUGGACGCUCUGUGGAAGAAUCUGCCUCAUAUCCCUUUCAGCUGCUAAAGAAGUCCUCUGCAUACCUGCAUGUGAACGCCACUAUUCCAGUCAAAUUGCCAUCUUUACUCCUGGAAAGAGGAAAACACUCCUACAACCACUUUAGGUCCGUCAGGCUGAGCUUCUGCAAGUUCAAAUCUUACCAAGUGCCUCCUUACUUAAGCACUUCCUUUGUUCUUAAAGACCCAAAUAUUGAACACGUCCUGCCUGGCUCUCAAGGAUCUGACCCUGAACUACAUUAGUGGCAUCAUGAUGUGCAAAACUGUCCUCACUCUCUUUGCUCCAACCACAGAAGAUGUUUUCAAGUCCUUGCCCUUCUGGCCUCUGCUUCCUCUUCCUGGAAUGACAUUCCCCCUCUUACUCUAAUAAAUUCCUCUUCUUCUUUUUUAA